rnacentral:tRNA from 1 species
GUUACAUUAGUAUAAGUGUAUGUCUGAUUUCCAAUUAGAAGGAGAAAAAUGUAAUA